GAUGAAGAACGCAGCGAAAUGCGAUAAGUAAUGUGAAUUGCAGAAUUCAGUGAAUCAUCGAAUCUUUGAACGCACCUUGCGCUCUUUGGUAUUCCGAAGAGCAUGCCUGUUUGAGUGUCAUGAAAAUAUCAACCUUGACUUGGGUUUUGUGCUCUAGUCUCGGCUUGGAAUUGGGUGCUUGCCGCUUUUACGAGCGGCUCACCUUAAAUGUAUUAGCUGGAUCUGUCUUUGAGACUUGGUUUGACUUGGCGUAAUAAGUAUUUCGCUAAGGACAUUCUGCGGAGUGGCCUCGUUUCUAGGACGCUUGUCCUCUUUCCAAUACAAGUUCCACCUCGUGGACAUGACUUUUUAUUAUCUGGCCUCAAAUCAGGUAGGACUACCCGCUGAACUUAAGCAUAUCAAUAAGCGGAGGA
rnacentral:misc_RNA from 1 species